GACGAACGCUGGCGGCGUGCCUAAUACAUGCAAGUCGAACGGAGUGGCGAACGGGUGAGUAAUGUAUCGGAACGUGCCCAGUAGCGGGGGAUAACUACGCGAAAGCGUAGCUAAUACCGCAUACUAUUGGAGCGGCCGAUAUCGGAUUAGCUAGUUGGUGGGGUAACGGCUCACCAAGGCGACGAUCCGUAGCUGGUUUUAGAGGACGACCAGCCACACUGGGUCUGAGACACGGCCCAGACUCCUACGGGAGGCAGCAGUGGGGAAUGUUGGACAAUGGGGGAAACCCUGAUCCAGCCAUCCCGCGUGUGCGAUGAAGGCCUUCGGGUUGUAAAGAAAUUUUAGCAAAAAAGCGGUACAUGCAGAAUAAGCACCGGCUAACUACGUGCCAGCAGCCGCGGUAAUAC
rnacentral:rRNA from 1 species